rnacentral:rRNA from 1 species
UCGAGAAUAUUUGUCAAUGGGCGAAAGCCUGAACAAGCGACGCCGCGUGCGGGAUGAAGGCCUUCGGGUUGUAAACCGCGGUAGUAGAGGAGGAAAUUUUGACUGUACUCUACGGAAAGAGGUGGGUAACUACGUGCCAGCACCAGCGGUAAAACGUAGACCUCAAGCGUUAUCCGGAUUUAUUGGGCGUAAAGCGUGUGUAGGAGGCUCGGUGCGUCUACGGGUGAAAUCUCACUGCCUAACGGUGAGCCUGCCCGGGAUACGAUCGAGCUAGAGGAGGUGAGAGGUGAACGGAGCGCACGGUGUAGGGGUGAAAUCCGUUGAUAUCGUGCGAAACACCAAAGGCGAAGGCAGUUCACUGGCGCCUUCCUGACUCUGAGACACGAAAGCGUGGGGAGCAAAAAGG